GCUAGGCAACACGCAUGCAUGCCACAACCACCAACAUGAUUUCUUUGAAAAACAUCAACAUUAUUAGUUAACUUGAGCAUAUAUACUGGCAAGUGCUUCACCAAUGACGACGGUACAUCACCUACAAAUGACCAACUUGCAGUGCAUCCAUCUCCUUUUCAAUGUUCGGUGAGGAUAAACUGACUACACCAUUUAUUUUUUAUUCAAUGCAUGCAUGGUCGCCGGUACCAAUCUCAUGAAGAAGUUUUUAGAAUUACACUUAGCCUAGCAAAUCAAUACCAAUUAUCCAAAGGUAGAACGAAAUAAACAAACAACUCCUCUUACCUCUAGAUCUUCAAUACUUGAGCACUUGCAGCUUCCCAUUUCCUUGAGACCUUGACAAUACUAUAGUGACAAAACCAAGUACAGCAAUAAUUGGCAGAAAUGUAUCUGUACUACAGGAUUUGAAAGCAGGAGCCCAUGUAUCAUUUGUAACAACAGUACGUUAACAGUAAUUCACUCCAAGAGGGU